UUUGCAUUGCGUGGACUUUGCUACAGUCGAUGCCAUAGACACUGCUCAACUUCUCUCUACUGACGCCUGCAACUCCUUUUCCGUCAAACUCAAACUGUUCAAAGCUACUCAAAGAGUGAAUCUUCAUGUUCGAUCUCCACAAGAUUUGGGUUUGUUGGUAAAUAAUGGAGGAAAAUGAAAAGGAUUGCGGAAGUUAAACAUUGAUCUUGUUAUGUUUGAUUGAUAAGAGAAUGAGGAAGAUGAAGGAGUGGUUUAUAAAGUGUUAUUCUAAGUUGAUUAUGAGGAUCCAAAGGUUUUAGCUUUUUUAUGCUCUUGCUUUCUGAGAGGAACCAGAUUGAAGACUAGGAUUGUGUUGUUGACUGUGGAAGGAUGGAUGGUUCAGGUUUGGGGGCUGGAUUUUUGUCUGGUCCCAGUGGGACACUAGACCUUGAAUCUUCGAUUCCCAGACACCAGGAGAAGCAAUUGGGUCAUCCAGUGUUGGCACUUCAUCAACAUCAUAGAAAUGUGAUGAGUGGCGUUGGAGUAGAUCACCGCCCUGUAGGGCUUGUAGAGGUGAAAGGGUCGAUAGGAAGAGGUGCUUCGAUGAAUAUUGCCAAAGGGAAGGCAGUUGUGCCUUUUAGUCCCAGUAAUGCUUACAAUUUGAGUGAAGAAGAUGAGCCAAGUUAUACUGAAGAUGGGAAUGGUGAUAAUGGUGAAGGAGCCAAAGGUAAAAAGGGAUCCACAUGGCAGCGAAUGAAAUGGACAGAUAGAGUGGUUAGGCUUCUUAUAUCAGUGGUUGCUCUUGUGGGUGAUGAUGGUGUUGAAGGUGGUGAAGGCCUCAAGAGGAAAUCUGCAGCUUUACAGAAAAAGGGUAAGUGGAAGACUGUGUCAAAGAUAAUGAUGAGUAAAGGUUGUCAUGUAUCACCUCAGCAGUGUGAGGACAAGUUUAAUGAUUUGAACAAGAGGUAUAAGAGGUUAAAUGAUAUUCUUGGGAGGGGAACUAGUUGUAGAGUGGUGGAGAAUCCUACCCUUAUGGACUCAAUGCCCCAUCUCUCUGCCAAGGCGAAGGAUGAUGUUAGAAAGAUAUUGAGCUCAAAACAGUUGUUUUAUAAAGAAAUGUGUGCUUAUCAUAAUGGACAGUGGAUACCUGGUUGUCAUGAACUUGACCUCCAUGGUCAGCCUUUACCUCCCGGGAGAUGCUCAACAGACAAUAAUGUCUCCGAAGAAGAAGUGGUUGAAGAACACCAUGACACCGAGGAUGAUGAAUCAGAUGAUGAAGAUGCCAGUGGCAGUGAUAGGGAUCGGAUGGGUAGAAUGGGCAAGAGGUCUAGUGAAGAGGAUGACCAACUCUGGCAACAUGUUUCUCUGGAUACUUUUGAAGUUGAAAUGGCUGAGGCUCUUCAGGACCCGACAAAAUCUCUAUGGGAGCGAAGAGAGUGGAUCAACAAACAGAAGUUGCGACUCCAACAGCAAAGAGUCAGCUGCGAGGCUGAAGAUUUGGAGCUUGAGAAGCAGAGGUAUAAAUGGCUAAGGUACCGUUGCAAGAAAGAUAGGGAACUGGAGAGGUUGAGGCUGGAGAAUGAGAGAAUGAAAUUAGAGAAUGAGAAAAGGGUACUGCAACUGAGACAGAAAGAACUUGAAAUAGAUGUGAGGAGGUCAAAAGCUUCUGCAGAACCUUCUGUUGGUAUUGACAGAUUGUUAGGAAGAGAUCUCGACUUGGGCAAACAUCAAUAGCCUCCAAUCAUGCUUGACAUUCGGCAACCCUGCUAGAACUAUUCAAGCACAAAGCUUAUAGAGGCGCGUUAAUCUUGUUUCUAUGUAUGUGAAUUUCCUAUGAUGGAGUAUGUUGUUAUUUUCUGAGAAAUGAAUUAAUAUUGCAUAUGAAGGACCAUUAUACUCCUGUGGUUGUGACAAAAAGUCUUGAUUUCUUGCCUGAGUAAUCAAGAGCAACAUCUGCACUACAUGUUUUAACGUGAUGAAAAUGCCAAGAUAGCCUGGACUUCUGUCUGAACGAAUUGGCUCUUCAUUUCUUCACCAAGAGGCCGUUCUAGUUAAUGUUGCUGAGUUCUGACUCUUUCUUUGCCGUAGACCCUGAUGUCAUGUUACUCAACUGGGAAUCAGUCCUUACUCUUGAGGGACUUGAGAAACAGAAAGUUCACGUGAAGAAUUGGAAGGUUCUUUUGCAAUUCCAGGGAGGAAGGGGGUUUAGGUUUCCAGAGUCGUGGAAUUUAACUCGGCUUUGCUUGCUAAACAAGCGUGGAGUGUUAACAAUCCAGUUUCUCUUAUUGCUCAGGUACUACCCGGACUCAUCUUUUUGGUGGGCAGAAGCUCAUUCAACACCGUCCUAUUCUUGGCAUAGUAUUUUUUCAACAAGGGAGCUAUUGCUACAGGGGAGUUAUUGGCAAACUGGAUCAGGUCAUAAUGUGUCUAUUUUGAUGGAUAGGUGGAUACCUGGUAUUGUGGGCGGCCGCCCAAAUGCCUUUACUGUUUUGCCUCCUCAGGUUGAGAAGGUUAGUGACCUCAUGAGCUCAGUUGGGUACUGGAAUGUUGCUUUACUUUCUAAUAUAUUUUCUCAGUGUGAGGUAGCAGCUAAUGUAGCCAUUCCUUUAUCCAUUCCUUUAUCCUUUGCCUUAAUUGAAAACCCUUGGCUCGAACUCUAUCCUCUCCAAAUUCAUAUAACUCCCAAAAUCAAACUCCAAACCCGAAAUCACUGCCUUCGCAUUUCCUUUCUAUUCCCAUCUUCUCUUCCAGACUUUGAAGGCUUUGACAACGACGAGGCUACCGACAGCGACAAGCCCUUAUCGGUUGUAGCUCCUCCAUUCAUUCGAUACCAUGCUCCUCCUGUAUUCUGGGUUCAAAUUCUCUGGGUUCAAGGUAAAUUGCAAUUUUAGGGUUUGAAUGCAAUUCAGGCAUGUGCAAAAGCUUUUGCCAAUUCAGAUCUAUGCUUCACGAAGGUGGAUGAGAUCUCACAACUUCUUUCACUGUAGCAACCAAAGAAGAAGAUACCAGACACGUGAGGGUGACAUCAAUGUGUAAAACUAUUGCUACUUCUAAGAGUUGGAUACUCUUUUAGGGUUGGAUAAUCAUUUAGGGCAAGGAGGCGGAUUCUAAGUCGCCGUCGUGGUUCCAAUUCAUUGUGGUGAAUCAGUGCAACACAGGUAAUGAGUAGGUGGUUCCCGUUGAAGCAUUCAGACUAUUUAAGUACUUCUGUUAGUGGAGAUUUUUUUGCUAGUG